UUAAGCGACUAAGCGUACACGGUGGAUGCCCUGGCAGUCAGAGGCGAUGAAGGACGUGCUAAUCUGCGAUAAGCGUCGGUAAGGUGAUAUGAACCGUUAUAACCGGCGAUUUCCGAAUGGGGAAACCCAGUGUGUUUCGACACACUAUCAUUAACUGAAUCCAUAGGUUAAUGAGGCGAACCGGGGGAACUGAAACAUCUAAGUACCCCGAGGAAAAGAAAUCAACCGAGAUUCCCCCAGUAGCGGCGAGCGAACGGGGAGCAGCCCAGAGCCUGAAUCAGUGUGUGUGUUAGUGGAAGCGUCUGGAAAGGCGCGCGAUACAGGGUGACAGCCCCGUACACAAAAAUGCACAUGCUGUGAGCUCGAUGAGUAGGGCGGGACACGUGGUAUCCUGUCUGAAUAUGGGGGGACCAUCCUCCAAGGCUAAAUACUCCUGACUGACCGAUAGUGAACCAGUACCGUGAGGGAAAGGCGAAAAGAACCCCGGCGAGGGGAGUGAAAAAGAACCUGAAACCGUGUACGUACAAGCAGUGGGAGCACAGAGCAAUCUGUGUGACUGCGUACCUUUUGUAUAAUGGGUCAGCGACUUAUAUUCUGUAGCAAGGUUAACCGAAUAGGGGAGCCGAAGGGAAACCGAGUCUUAACUGGGCGUUAAGUUGCAGGGUAUAGACCCGAAACCCGGUGAUCUAGCCAUGGGCAGGUUGAAGGUUGGGUAACACUAACUGGAGGACCGAACCGACUAAUGUUGAAAAAUUAGCGGAUGACUUGUGGCUGGGGGUGAAAGGCCAAUCAAACCGGGAGAUAGCUGGUUCUCCCCGAAAGCUAUUUAGGUAGCGCCUCGUGAAUUCAUCUCCGGGGGUAGAGCACUGUUUCGGCAAGGGGGUCAUCCCGACUUACCAACCCGAUGCAAACUACGAAUACCGGAGAAUGUUAUCACGGGAGACACACGGCGGGUGCUAACGUCCGUCGUGAAGAGGGAAACAACCCAGACCGCCAGCUAAGGUCCCAAAGUCAUGGUUAAGUGGGAAACGAUGUGGGAAGGCCCAGACAGCCAGGAUGUUGGCUUAGAAGCAGCCAUCAUUUAAAGAAAGCGUAAUAGCUCACUGGUCGAGUCGGCCUGCGCGGAAGAUGUAACGGGGCUAAACCAUGCACCGAAGCUGCGGCAGCGACGCUUAUGCGUUGUUGGGUAGGGGAGCGUUCUGUAAGCCUGCGAAGGUGUGCUGUGAGGCAUGCUGGAGGUAUCAGAAGUGCGAAUGCUGACAUAAGUAACGAUAAAGCGGGUGAAAAGCCCGCUCGCCGGAAGACCAAGGGUUCCUGUCCAACGUUAAUCGGGGCAGGGUGAGUCGACCCCUAAGGCGAGGCCGAAAGGCGUAGUCGAUGGGAAACAGGUUAAUAUUCCUGUACUUGGUGUUACUGCGAAGGGGGGACGGAGAAGGCUAUGUUGGCCGGGCGACGGUUGUCCCGGUUUAAGCGUGUAGGCUGGUUUUCCAGGCAAAUCCGGAAAAUCAAGGCUGAGGCGUGAUGACGAGGCACUACGGUGCUGAAGCAACAAAUGCCCUGCUUCCAGGAAAAGCCUCUAAGCAUCAGGUAACAUCAAAUCGUACCCCAAACCGACACAGGUGGUCAGGUAGAGAAUACCAAGGCGCUUGAGAGAACUCGGGUGAAGGAACUAGGCAAAAUGGUGCCGUAACUUCGGGAGAAGGCACGCUGAUAUGUAGGUGAAGUCCCUCGCGGAUGGAGCUGAAAUCAGUCGAAGAUACCAGCUGGCUGCAACUGUUUAUUAAAAACACAGCACUGUGCAAACACGAAAGUGGACGUAUACGGUGUGACGCCUGCCCGGUGCCGGAAGGUUAAUUGAUGGGGUUAGCGCAAGCGAAGCUCUUGAUCGAAGCCCCGGUAAACGGCGGCCGUAACUAUAACGGUCCUAAGGUAGCGAAAUUCCUUGUCGGGUAAGUUCCGACCUGCACGAAUGGCGUAAUGAUGGCCAGGCUGUCUCCACCCGAGACUCAGUGAAAUUGAACUCGCUGUGAAGAUGCAGUGUACCCGCGGCAAGACGGAAAGACCCCGUGAACCUUUACUAUAGCUUGACACUGAACAUUGAGCCUUGAUGUGUAGGAUAGGUGGGAGGCUUUGAAGUGUGGACGCCAGUCUGCAUGGAGCCGACCUUGAAAUACCACCCUUUAAUGUUUGAUGUUCUAACGUGGACCCGUAAUCCGGGUUGCGGACAGUGUCUGGUGGGUAGUUUGACUGGGGCGGUCUCCUCCUAAAGAGUAACGGAGGAGCACGAAGGUUGGCUAAUCCUGGUCGGACAUCAGGAGGUUAGUGCAAUGGCAUAAGCCAGCUUGACUGCGAGCGUGACGGCGCGAGCAGGUGCGAAAGCAGGUCAUAGUGAUCCGGUGGUUCUGAAUGGAAGGGCCAUCGCUCAACGGAUAAAAGGUACUCCGGGGAUAACAGGCUGAUACCGCCCAAGAGUUCAUAUCGACGGCGGUGUUUGGCACCUCGAUGUCGGCUCAUCACAUCCUGGGGCUGAAGUAGGUCCCAAGGGUAUGGCUGUUCGCCAUUUAAAGUGGUACGCGAGCUGGGUUUAGAACGUCGUGAGACAGUUCGGUCCCUAUCUGCCGUGGGCGCUGGAGAAUUGAGGGGGGCUGCUCCUAGUACGAGAGGACCGGAGUGGACGCAUCACUGGUGUUCGGGUUGUCAUGCCAAUGGCACUGCCCGGUAGCUAAAUGCGGAAGAGAUAAGUGCUGAAAGCAUCUAAGCACGAAACUUGCCCCGAGAUGAGUUCUCCCUGACUCCUUGAGAGUCCUGAAGGAACGUUGAAGACGACGACGUUGAUAGGCCGGGUGUGUAAGCGCAGCGAUGCGUUGAGCUAACCGGUACUAAUGAACCGUGAGGCUUAACCUU
rnacentral:rRNA from 1 species